CGCAGGCUUUGAGACUCCACUGUCAGCACAGAAAGUUGAAUUGUUCACCCUCACUCAGGCUUGCAUCCUGGUGGAAGGCCUCCAGCCUAGCAGUGAUCAAAUGUUCAGCUCGCACUGGUGCCGCUGACAGAAUCUCCAAGUACAAUGCACAAGCAGAUGCCACCGCCAACCAGACGUCCUUACACCCCACUUUCCUCGGUCCAUUGGGCUCACAGCAACACCUCAUUACAAAAAGUAGGAAGACGGGUAUGCCAGACCUAGGUAUGCCAGGCUUAUAGAGAAAGCGACAAUCUGCCUGAAGGAGAC